GACGAACGCUGGCGGCGUGCUUAACACAUGCAAGUCGAACGGGAUCCGGGCUUUCGGGUUUGGUGAGAGUGGCGAACGGGUGAGUAACACGUGAGUAACCUGCCCCCUUCUUUGGGAUAACGUCGGGAAAUCGGCGCUAAUACUGGAUAUUCUUGCUGCAUCGCAUGGUGUGGUUUGGAAAGGGUUUCUGGUGGGGGAUGGGCUCGCGGCCUAUCAGCUUGUUGGUGGGGUGAUGGCCUACCAAGGCUUUGACGGGUAGCCGGCCUGAGAGGGUGUCCGGACACACUGGGACUGAGACACGGCCCAGACGCCUACGGGAGGCAGCAGUGGGGAAUAGUGCACAAUGGGCGCAAGCCUGAUGCAGCGACGCCGCGUGAGGGAUGACGGCCUUCGGGUUGUAAACCUCUUUCAGUAUGGAACAAGGAUCCUUCUUUUGGGGGGUUUGAGGGUACGUGCAGAAGAAGCGCCGGCUAACUACGUG
rnacentral:rRNA from 1 species